rnacentral:rRNA from 1 species
AACGUAGGAGGCAAGCGUUAUCCGGAUUUACUGGGCGUAAAGCGCGUGCAGGCGGUUUAACAAGUUGGAUGUGAAAGCUCCUGGCUUAACUAGGAGAGGUCGUUCAAAACUGUUAGACUAGAGGGCGGUAGAGGGAGGUGGAAUUCCGUGUGUAGUGGUGAAAUGCGUAGAUAUACGGAGGAACACCAGUGGCGAAAGCGGCCUCCUGGACCGAUCCUGACGCUCAGACGCGAAAGCUAGGGGAGCAAACGGG